UACGUAGGUGGCAAGCGUUAUCCGGAUUUACUGGGUGUAAAGGGCGUGUAGGCGGGAGUGCAAGUCAGAUGUGAAAACCACGGGCUCAACCUGUGGCCUGCAUUUGAAACUGUACUUCUUGAGUACUGGAGAGGCAGACGGAAUUCCUAGUGUAGCGGUGAAAUGCGUAGAUAUUAGGAGGAACACCAGUGGCGAAGGCGGUCUGCUGGACAGCAACUGACGCUGAGGCGCGAAAGCGUGGGGAGCAAACAGG
rnacentral:rRNA from 1 species